AUGUUCUCUGUAGCUCUGCUGCUGCUGCUGGUUGCUGGAUCCUGUGUGAAGUGUGAACAGCUGACACAGCCAGCCUCUGUGACUGUGCAGCCAGGUCAACGUCUGACCAUCAGCUGUCAGGUCUCUUAUUCUCUGGGCUAUGCAACACACUGGAUCAGACAGCCUGCAGGGAAAGGACUGGAGUGGAUUGGGAUGAAGCAUGGUGAUGGAGAAUCAUACUACAAAGACUCUUUGAAGAACAAAUUCAGUAUAGAUGUAGACACUUCCAGUAAAACAGUGACUCUGAAUGGACAGAGUCUGCAGCCUGAAGACUCUGCUGUGUAUUACUGUGCCAGACGAGACCACAGUGACACAAACCAGCAGCAGAGCUGUACAAAAACCCCUCAGAACACAUGCAACAAAAAAUCACCAGAGGAGGUGCUUUAA